AAAGAUUUCUUUGAAUGGCUACUACAACAAGAACUUUGGGGGAAACUUGGUACAUUGGAAUCCACUGAAAAUGAGAACUGUUUCUCAUAGACACCCAGAAGUGAGUGAAAAGAAAACCACACAAUCGGACACCGCAGGAGAAGGCGUUUGCGAAGCCAACAUGAGACAAGGAACUGGUACUGAAAUCAUCGAAGAGCUAUCUACAAAUCUGUAAGAUGACAGCAGAGGGAUGAGAUCCAGAGAGAGAGAGUGAGAGAGAUCAAUACAUCUGGGGGCACACUCUCUUGGUUCCCCUGCAUCCACCCACAGGGUCCACAGCCAUGUGGACUCCAGACAAUGGAAUGAAGGACUGCACCUAGCCUGAUGCUGAUGCAGCCACUCCGGGCAACAGUAUGAUGUUUCUUCAAAGAAUUAAAAUUGAACUGCCAUGUGACCCAGUAUUCCACUUCUAGAAGCAUGAAAGAAACACCAGUCAAAAAGAA